rnacentral:lncRNA from 1 species
UUGUGAUCCACCCACCUCGGCCUCCCAAAGUGCUGGGAUUACAGGCUUGAGCCACCGCACCCGGCCCGUAGAGACAGGGUUUCACCAUGUUGACCAGUAUGGUCUCGAUCUCCUGACCUCAGGUGAUCCACCUGCCUCGGCCUCCCAAAGUGCUGGGAUUACAGGAGUGAGCCACCGGGCCUGGCCAAGAUGUCUUUCAAAUAAUUAAAGCCACAUCUUUUUGUAGUUCAUAAACGUGAUGACUGUGUUUCCAUGCUCAUGCGUGAGUUGCACCUCCCUCAAACCUUGUUUUGACAUUGACACAUUAUCUGCCUGAUGUAAAAAUAAUGAAAUCCAAUAUACUAAGAUCAGGAGAUUUCACAAUAAAAUCCCAAUUUCUGUUUCUUUUAAAAAAUCAGGCCAGCCAUGAUGGCUUAUGCCUGGAAUUCCAGCACUUUGGGAGGCGCAGGCAGAAGGAUCACUUGAUCCUGGAAGUUCAAGAUCAGCAUGGUUAACACAGGGAGACCUGGUCUCAAUUUAAAAAUUAGCUGGGCAUGGCACUUUGGGAGACUGAGGCAGGUGGAUCACCCGAGAUCAGAAGUUUGAGACCAGCUUGGCCAAUAUGGUGAAACCUCAUCUCUGUAUUAAAAAAAAAAAAAAAAUUAGCCAGUUGUGGUAAUGAGCGCCUGUAAUCCCAGCUACUCGAGAGGCUGAGGCAGGGGAAUCACUGGAACCUGGGAAGUGGAGGUUGCAGUGAGCCAAGAUCUCGCCAUUGCAUUUGAGCCUGGGUAACAGAGUGAGACUCUGUCUCAAAACAAACAAACAAACAAACAAAAACAUUAGCCAUAGCCCCAGUUAUCUGGAGGCUGAGAUGGAGGCUGAGAACCCACGAGUUCGUUCAAGGCUGCAGUGAGCUAUCAUUGCACUCCAGCCAGGAUGACAGAGCAAGACCCUGUCUCAAAAUAAAAUAAAUACUUUGGGAGGCCAAAGUGGGCAGAUCACCUGAGGUCAGGAGUUCGAGACCAGCCAGGUCAACAUGGCGAAACCCAUCUCUACUAAUAAAAUACAAAAAUUAGCCAGGCAUGGUGGUGUGUGCCUAUAAUCCCAGCUACCC